GGCAAGAUGGCCGAGCGGUCCAAGGCGUGUGACUCAAGCGAAAGCUUACCCUAUCAGGGUUUCUCAUCAUGUAAUGUGGCGUGGGUUCGAAUCCCACUCUUGUCA